CAGUCAAAUGAGGUCUGUGAGGU
rnacentral:piRNA from 1 species